rnacentral:sRNA from 1 species
AGCACCUGUUAGUAGUUAACUUACACAACCAACCCUCUACCACUCAUUUGCCCUCUCAUGUGCUCUCAUGUACCCACAAAACACCCCUCUUCUCAUGAUUCUACUCUGUACUUGUGUAGUUUCUAAUGAUUUCUCUGUGUAAUCUUUAACAUUCUUCCACUCUGCAUUUCACUGCAGUAUGAUCUCUAAUAUUCUUCUAUUUCAAUUCUUCUUCUAUAAAAAUCUUCUUAUACAACCUCUUCUUCUGAUCUUUCUUCUCUUUCUUUUUUUAAUUAAUUUAUAAACUGUUAUUAGAAUAGUGUUAAAUCUGUUGAUAGUAUUAUUGAAAUGAAUUAUAUAAACUGU